rnacentral:misc_RNA from 1 species
AUUGCAGCAAAUUCACGGGUGAUUUCCUCUUGUACCUUGUUCCGAGCAUCACCAAGAGGAUCUUUCACAACCGCAUUAGCAGGCGUCUUCUCCUGCUCUUCCACAGGUUUGACCGCAGAGGGCACAUUAACAUUCUUCUUCUCUCCAUCUUGGCUCUCGGGCUUUUUGGAUUGAUUAAUACCGCUACUAGAGGACUUCCCAACAGAAAGUGUCGGCUGGGAAGCAGGAGCAACAGUAGCUGGUCGGAACUGGGGUGCUUGUGGUACUGCAUUAGCCCUCAACGUUGAUUCCAGUUGUUGUAUCAUAGGCAUUAUAAGGGCACCCAUCGGGCUAUUUGUAACCUCAUUAGGAAGAUUCAAAAUAUAUUCUGGAAUGGUUGCACCGACCAAAAAUUGAGCAAUCUCAUUGCUGAAAUUGUUGCAGUUGUGGGUAAGCAAACUGUAUGUCUCUGCAGUAUACCGAGGGCUUAUCUCUUGCAAAUACAUUUCAAAGACAUCCUUUGGUAUGUGGGUGACACCCAGAUCUACAACUUUAAUAGGAGUCCCAUAUGGUGUCGUCCCAGCUGGAGCAUGUUGUAUACCGCCUCCAAAAUAAUAUUCAUGACCAUAAACCACUACUCCUGUGUGCCAUAUUCCUUCAAUAGCUUUUCCCAGAAAAGUAGUAGAUAACUGUCGAGCUAAACCUUGACUCAAGUCAUAGACGUUUAAGAUAACCUUGUUCCCUCAGCUCAUCCAUACCCAAAAUGGCAAUAAUAUCUUGAAGAUUCUUGUAGUUUUGAAGAACUUUCUGUACCCCACGAGCAGUAUUGUAAUGAUCUUCUCCCAAAAUGUGAGGUGAGAGCAUACGAGACGUAGAAUCAAGUGGAUCAACAGCAGGAUAAAUACCAAGCUCAGAAAUUUGACGGGACAACACAGUCGUGGCAUCCAAGUGAGCAAAGGUAGUAGCAGGUGCUGGAUCAGUCAAGUCAUCAGCAGGCACAUAUAUAGCUUGGACAGAAGUGAUAGAACCUUUCUUGGUGGUUGUAAUUCGCUCUUGAAGACCUCCAAGAUCAGUAGCCAAAGUUGGUUGGUAACCGACAGCAGAUGGGAUACGACCAAGCAAAGCAGACACCUCUGAGUUGGCCUGGGUGAAGCGGAAAAUAUUAUCAAUGAAUAGAAGCACAUCUUGCCCUUCAGCAUCACGAAAGUGUUCUGCCACAGUUAGCCCAGUUAGACCAACACGGGCACGAGCACCAGGGGGCUCGUUCAUUUGACCAUAUACAAGUGCGCAUUUGCUGUCAGCCUGCUUAUCCCCUAGCUUAAUGACACCACUCUCAAUCAUUUCCCUGUAUAGGUCAUUACCCUCACGGGUGCGCUCUCCAACACCAGCAAACACUGAAAAACCACCAUGAGCUUUUGCAACAUUGUUGAUAAGUUCCAUAAUAAGCACAGUUUUUCCUACACCAGCACCACCAAACAGCCCAAUCUUCCCUCCCCUUUGGUAUGGUGCAAGAAGAUCAACAACCUUGAUCCCAGUUACAAGGAUCUGUUGCUCAGUGGCUUGGUCAACAAAAGCUGGAGCUUCUCUGUGAAUGGGCAAGAAGUGGCUGGUCUUGAUAUCACCCUUCUCAUCGAUAGGCUCUCCAAUAACAUUCAUGAUACGACCAAGGGUGGCCCUACCCACAGGCACUGUGAUAGGAGACCCAGUAUUGAGGACACGCUGCCCUCUCACCAAACCUUCAGUUCCGUCCAUAGCAAUGGUCCUAACCAUAUUCUCACCCAAGUGCUGAGCUACCUCCAGCACUAGCCGGAUCGAAUGGUCCCUCACCUCCAGAGCCGUCAGAAUCGGAGGCAGUCCCUCAUCGAAUCUCACAUCCACAACGGCACCAAUCACCUGACAAACCUGCCCGAUCGCACCCUUUCCGGUGAACUCAUCGGUGAUCUUCCCACCACCCUUGCCCCCCUCGGGUUUCGAGGGAGGAGGGGCAGCGGCGGCAGCGGAAGUCGCGUACUCAGCCGCGCGUGUGAGUAGGAAACCAUAAGGAGACGCGCGGCGCGUGAAACAUGGAGAUGAGGAAGAAAGCUUGGGAUUGGAGUUUGAGAGGGGAGAUUUGGAAACGGAUCGGCGAGUGGAUGAUCGGAGAAGAGAGGAUAAAAGUCUGCGUGAAGCCAUUGGUUAGGGCUUCAAAGAGAGAGAGUGAAACUAAUGUUAUUGUUAGGGUUUGAGACUGAUGUCACACUCUUAUGCUUUGUACGCAGCUCAUCAGCUGGGUGUCUCCUCGGAUUCACCUUUUCUUACCAUGACUAAAAUUGGAAUAUUCGUUUUUCCUCUUCUUAGCGGAGACGAUGAA